AACCUAGCACACCUGCGGUGUGUACCUGCGGAGGGAUCAUUAACCUUUCAAAUCAGGGUGCGGCGCGGCCCCCGAGGAGCGGAAACAAUCCUUGGGAGGUAUGCGGGGCUUCGAGCCCCCCAUUUACGCACGCACGACUGCCAUCCUUACUUUACGAGCACCUUCUGUUCUCCCUCGGCGGGGCAACCUGCCGUUGGAACCGAAUAAACUCUUUUUGCAUCUAGCAUUACCUGUUCCGAA
rnacentral:misc_RNA from 1 species